rnacentral:rRNA from 1 species
UCCAGACUCCUACGGGAGGCAGCAGUGGGGAAUAUUGCACAAUGGGCGAAAGCCUGAUGCAGCAACGCCGCGUGAAGGAAGACGGUUUUCGGAUUGUAAACUUCUGUUCUUAGUGAAGAAUAAUGACGGUAACUAAGGAGCAAGCCACGGCUAACUACGUGCCAGCAGCCGCGGUAAUACGUAGGUGGCAAGCGUUAUCCGGAUUUACUGGGUGUAAAGGGCGUGUAGGCGGGACUGCAAGUCAGAUGUGAAAACCAUGGGCUCAACCUGUGGCCUGCAUUUGAAACUGUAGUUCUUGAGUACUGGAGAGGCAGACGGAAUUCCUAGUGUAGCGGUGAAAUGCGUAGAUAUUAGGAGGAACACCAGUGGCGAAGGCGGUCUGCUGGACAGCAACUGACGCUGAGGCGCGAAAGCGUGGGGAGCAAACAGGAUUAGAUACCCUUGUACAG